rnacentral:tRNA from 1 species
AAGGCUUUAAGUUAAUUAAACUAAUAGCCUUCAAAGCUAUAAAUAAAGAAAUUCUUUAAGCCUUA